rnacentral:misc_RNA from 1 species
UGACACCUUUAUCUCUGCACUUUGGAGGUCCACGGAGGAGAGUCUUGUGAUCAAUUUUGGAGCACUUUUGCGAGUUUUGCUGAAUUUUUCGGGUUUUCCCAGCGAACCAGCUUCUGAUCCGCGUCGCAGCCAUGCCCUUCUGUGGACCAAAACUGUCCCUGUGCGGACUGAUCAUCUCCGUGUGGGGAAUCAUCCAGCUGCUGCUGAUGGGUGUGUUCUACUACAUCCACAGUGUGGCCCUGAUUGAGGAUCUUCCGCUGGAGGCUCAUUAUCCAACUCCGGCCGACUUUUACGCAGCGGCCGAUCGUGCCUACAGUCAGAAUGCGUACAACUGCUGGAUCGCAGCCUGCAUCUACGUCGUAACUUUGGUGGUUUCCGGCCAGCAAUUUUACGCCAACAGCCGUACGACCGUGGCUUAAACGCUCCGUGGCCACAUUCAUCCUCCCUGGGGCCAUUACCCGGGGCUUAAAAAAUCAGUAAUUAUUGUAAAAUCAGCGAUUGUAAAUAUUCGUUUCUUCUGUAAUACGCGCGUCCCGCUACAUCAACAUACAAACAAACGGAUUCAGAUUGUGUUCCCGUGCGGAAAUCUUAAGCCCCAGAAGAUUAAUUUCUGUCUUAUGUGUCGGAAAAGAACGAUGCACACGCGCACUGUUUGUGAGCCAGACUACCAAAAUGUUAUAAAUACAAAUCCAACAUACAUUACGGAAAUAUAGUGAAUAAAGUGUAAAAAAAA